rnacentral:rRNA from 1 species
CUUAGCAGAGAUGCUUUGGUGGCCUUCGGGAACUCUGAGACAGGUGCUGCAUGGCUGUCGUCAGCUCGUGUUGUGAAAUGUUGGGUUAAGUCCCGCAACGAGCGCAACCCUUAUCCUUUGUUGCCAGCGGCUCGGCCGGGAACUCAAAGGAGACUGCCGGUGAUAAACCGGAGGAAGGUGGGAUGACGUCAAGUCAUCAUGGCCCUUACGGCCAGGGCUACACACGUGCUACAAUGGCGCAUACAAGAGAAGCGACCUCGCGAGAGCAAGCGGACCUCACAAAGUGCGUCGUAGUCCGGAUUGGAGUCUGCAACUCGACUCCAUGAAGUCGGAAUCGCUAGUAAUCGUAGAUCAGAAUGCUACGGUGAAUACGUUCCCGGGCCUUGUACACACCGCCCGUCACACCAUGGGAGUGGGUUGCAAAAGAAGUAGGUAGCUUAACCUUCGGGAGGGCGCUUACCACUUUGUGAUUCAUGACUGGGGUGAAGUCGUAACAAGGUAAGCGUAGCGAG